rnacentral:rRNA from 1 species
UGGGGAAUAUUGGACAAUGGGCGCAAGCCUGAUCCAGCAAUGCCGCGUGUGUGAAGAAGGCCUUCGGGUUGUAAAGCACUUUUAUCAGGAGCGAAACGCUGUCGGCUAAUACCCGGCGGAACUGACGGUACCUGAGGAAUAAGCACCGGCUAACUUCGUGCCAGCAGCCGCGGUAAUACGAAGGGUGCAAGCGUUAAUCGGAAUUACUGGGCGUAAAGCGUGCGUAGGCGGUUUCUUAAGUCUGCUGUGAAAUCCCCGGGCUCGACCUGGGAAUGGCAGUGGAUACUGGGAGGCUAGAGUGUGUCAGAGGGUGGUGGAAUUCCCGGUGUAGCGGUGAAAUGCGUAGAGAUCGGGAGGAACAUCAGUGGCGAAGGCGGCCACCUGGGACAACACUGACGCUGAGGCACGAAAGCGUGGGGAGCAAACAGGAUUAGAUACCCUGGUAGUCCACGCCCUAAACGAUGCGAACUGGAUGUUGGUCUCAACUCGGAGAUCAGUGUCGAAGCUAACGCGUUAAGUUCGCCGCCUGGGGAGUACGGUCGCAAGACUGAAACUCAAAUGAAUUGACGGGGUCAUAGCUGUUUCC